AUGCGUUUUGAAGCCCAUGGACGCAAGUACUCUGUCGAUAUUGUGAAGGGGGCACACAGGACCAGGAUCAAGGGGAGUGGCUGGAAGAAAUUCACUUCUGACUUUUCUCUUCAGAAGGGUGCUGUGGUCAUUUUUGACUUGGACAAGCGCCCCCGCCAGGCAUAUGUUGUUGUUCAAAGUGGUGACUUGGACACAGUUGAAGGGAGCUCUUCAGACGGGGAUGCUGAUGAAGAGAUGAUAGAUGGAGACAUCUCAGAUGUGGAUGAAGACGGUGGCGACAUAAAGAUCGAGUAUACAAGGGGUCUAACUCUGAAUGAUGCACAGCAGGACAUUCUCGAUGAACUGGUGCUCAUCUUCAAAUCCAAGUUUUUAGGAGUGUCUUUUGUACACUGUCUUACUUCAACUGACACUCAAGUUGGACAAAUGAAAGUGCCAGAGAGGGUUGCUACAAGCUUGAACAUCCUUAAAGAAGGUUUGGCUGGUGUUCGUCUAAGCAGCGGGGAGGCAAAGACUCGCGUUGAAUAUAGCACGUCUACUGAUGGACUUAUAGUUUUCAACAAAAAGUAG
rnacentral:rRNA from 1 species